CCUACGGGGGGCUGCAGUGGGGAAUAUUGGACAAUGGGCGAAAGCCUGAUCCAGCCAUGCCGCGUGUGUGAAGAAGGCCUUCGGGUUGUAAAGCACUUUGAGUGGGGAAGAAAGCCUUGGGGCUAAUACCCUCGAGGAAGGACAUCACCCACAGAAGAAGCACCGGCUAACUCCGUGCCAGCAGCCGCGGUAAUACGGAGGGUGCGAGCGUUAAUCGGAAUUACUGGGCGUAAAGCGCGCGUAGGCGGUCUGAUAAGCCGGUUGUGAAAGCCCCGGGCUCAACCUGGGAACGGCAUCCGGAACUGUCAGGCUAGAGUGCAGGAGAGGAAGGUAGAAUUCCCGGUGUAGCGGUGAAAUGCGUAGAGAUCGGGAGGAAUACCAGUGGCGAAGGCGGCCUUCUGGACUGACACUGACGCUGAGGUGCGAAAGCGUGGGUAGCAAACAGGAUUAGAUCCCCUUGUAGUC
rnacentral:rRNA from 1 species